rnacentral:tRNA from 1 species
GCUCGGGUGCUGUAACUGGUAGCCAGAAUCGACUUAAAAUCGAUUGAGGGAAACCUCGUGUGGGUUCGAGUCCCACCCCGAGCA